rnacentral:rRNA from 1 species
UACGUAGGCAGCGAGCGUUGUUCGGAGUUACUGGGCGUAAAGGGUGUGUAGGCGGUUGUUUAAGUUUGGUGUGAAAUCUCCCGGCUCAACUGGGAGGGUGCGCCGAAUACUGAGCGACUAGAGUGCGGGAGAGGAAAGUGGAAUUCCUGGUGUAGCGGUGAAAUGCGUAGAUAUCAGGAGGAACACCGGUGGUGUAGACGGCUUUCUGGACCGUAACUGACGCUGAGACACGAAAGCGUGGGGAGCAAACGGG